GAUGAACGCUGGCGGCGUGCCUAAUACAUGCAAGUCGAGCGAACGGACGAGAAGCUUGCUUCUCUGAUGUUAGCGGCGGACGGGUGAGUAACACGUGGAUAACCUACCUAUAAGACUGGGAUAACUUCGGGAAACCGGAGCUAAUACCGGAUAAUAUUUUGAACCGCAUGGUUCAAAAGUGAAAGACGGUCUUGCUGUCACUUAUAGAUGGAUCCGCGCUGCAUUAGCUAGUUGGUAAGGUAACGGCUUACCAAGGCAACGAUGCAUAGCCGACCUGAGAGGGUGAUCGGCCACACUGGAACUGAGACACGGUCCAGACUCCUACGGGAGGCAGCAGUAGGGAAUCUUCCGCAAUGGGCGAAAGCCUGACGGAGCAACGCCGCGUGAGUGAUGAAGGUCUUCGGAUCGUAAAACUCUGUUUCUAGGGAAGAACAUAUGUGUAAGUAACUGUGCACAUCUUGACGGUACCUAAUCAGAAAGCCACGGCUAACUACGUG
rnacentral:rRNA from 1 species